CAGCCGCCGCGGUAAUACGGAGGGAGCUAGCGUUGUUCGGAAUUACUGGGCGUAAAGCGCACGUAGGCGGUUAUUCAAGUCAGAGGUGAAAGCCCGGGGCUCAACCCCGGAACUGCCUUUGAAACUAGAUGACUGGAAUCUUGGAGAGGUCAGUGGAAUUCCGAGUGUAGAGGUGAAAUUCGUAGAUAUUCGGAAGAACACCAGUGGCGAAGGCGACUGACUGGACAAGUAUUGACGCUGAGGUGCGAAAGCGUGGGGAGCAAACAGGAUUAGAUACCCGAGUAGUCCCUGUCUCUUAUAC
rnacentral:rRNA from 1 species